AACUUCUCUAUUCAGAACUCCCGCUACCAGAGAGCAGUUGGAAAACUGCAGACAGGCUUUAACUGCGGUAUUGCAAUCCCUCCAUCUGGCGUAAGGAAGAGAACUUCAGUAGAAGAGGGAAAACGUAGUAGCAGCUAAACGGAUCGCGAGAUAAAACUUUCAAGAAGUUCUAAUUUAACAGCCACAGGAAGCCAGGCGAGCGCAGAGCCCCCGCGGGUGAUGAGGAUGAGGAAGUACAGCAAAACUGUGUGCAUCAGGCUCAAGACAUCUUCCUUGCAAGUGAAAUGGAGAGCAAUGAGUGCUUCCAAGUGUUAUCAGAAAAAGAUGUGGUACAAUGGAGAACCUGAUCAGAUCUGCUGAUGAUGGAUUUUCCUUGAGUCCUGAUAUGUCAGCUUACAUGGCUAAAAACCAGACGGGAGUAGACACACCUAAGAGAAAAGACAGAAUUUGGAAAGCAUGGAGAAGGUGUGAUUGUCCUUUACACCAGGUCACUACGGGCAUCGUUAAGUGAAUGGAUUCUGCUACAGGAUGCAUUUCACAAUCAUUUAAACAGUUGAGCCAGAAAAAUGCUGAAAACUUUUAAUUCGCCCUCAUUUGAGUGAGCUGAUCCUUUUCUGUGAUGAAUCACUUAAAAUCAGUAAUAAUUUACUUACAGAGUGAUUCCUGUUUCCAGUCUUUUUUAACAUACUGAUGAAUUUUUAAUUUAAUUUGCUAAUGUGUUGGCAAAUUAUACCAGUGUAUAGAAAGGGUCCUUUAAGGACUGGCAACCCUUUUUUCAUUUGUGCCUCUUCCUAAGACUCCAUUAAAAACUCUUUUUUCUUCCCCAUGUCCCCACUCAUUGGCUGGAUUUGUCCCUGUUGUGCUGCCCAGAACAUUCACAUGAGUCAAUCUCACAUGCUCAGACAAAGGCAAGUUGACAGGCUGGAUAUGAUCUGAAAAUAUGAAGGUUUUGUUAAGACCAUAAAACACAGAAAUCUCCGUGCAAUCUGUGUUGCAAAAACACACACAGUUUUUGUAUAUUUCAAUACUUUUGGUCUCACAUCUACUAACAUUUCAUGCUAUAUAUGUCCAUGACAGACCACAUUUGUUCUUACAAAAGCAACUUUGGGAACACCAAUGGUAGGAGUUUGGUUUGGUUUUGGUAAUGAGUGAAAUGUUGGUGGAAAGUUUGUUGUUGUAUCUCAAUUUCUGCAAAUUGUAAUUGUAAAAAAAUGAGAAGCUUAGAUUUGGCUCAUCAAGGUGAAGAUUUAUGGGAACAUAGAGCUUUCAUUGGCCCUGAACAAAUGGCUAAACUUUGCUUUCUGUGGUUUCUAAACACAAAGUAAUCCUUGUCCUCCUGUCAGGAAAAAGAUGUAAUAUCAGAGGUAAUGUUACACUGAGAUUUCUCUUUGCUCAGACCGAGAUAUUUGUCAAU